GUGGCUGUCACUGCCCUUCCCCACUGGCUGCGAUGUCACGCGAUGGCUGGCAGAGGGGGCAGGGACAGGGCAGGGGCAUCUGUGUAAAUUCAGCAAGGAGCUGACAGUGCUUUCAUGCAGUUUGUCUCUAAUCUGGCAAGUCCCACGGAUGCCCACUGUCUGCUUUUUCUCAGAGCUGCUGCCCUCAUUUCCAAAUGGAAUGGAUGACAUAUUUAGGUCUGCUCUCCAGAAAGAUGCUUUAAAACCCCUCCAGCUGACUGCAGCCCCAGUCUGUGUGCGUGCGGGCACAAGGAAAGGAACCAUAGCUCUCAGGUACUAUCUCCACCCCAACACAACAGCGCCUCCAGCCAUUUCCUCUUCUUAACCUCAUUGUGAACCACAAACCUAAAAGCAACUGAUGAACAGUCUUUGGAUAAGGUGCCUCAGACAUUGUCCAAACUGAAAACUGAUUCACAGACAAGUUCUCUUGGAACUGCACUUGCUUUGGGAAGUCUCUUUCCACCCAAAAGCCAACUAGAAAUCCAGGCAGCCUUCCUUCCUCAACCCUAGAGGUAACCUUACCCUUAUUUGACCUUUGGACAUGGCCUUCCACAUACAUCCCAUGCAAAUAGCAUCUCAUAGCGAAGACCUCCCGGCAGACUACUUUUUCCUUUUGCAGACACCUUCUCCACUCCACAACAAUUGUACCCCCACACUAUCUCCGUCCCUCAACCUUAAUCAUAGAACCAUAGAAUAGCUGAGGUUGGAAAAGACCUUAAGGAUCACCAAGUCCAACCACAACCUAACCAUACUACCCUAACUCUAACAACCCUCUGCUAAACCAUGUCCCUGAGCACCACAUCCAAACGGUUUUUAAGCACAUCCAGGGGUGGUGACUCAACCACCUCCCUGGGGAGCCCAUUCCAGUGCUUAACAACCCUUUCUGUAAAGAAGAUUUUCUUGAUAUCCAUCCUAAACUUACCCUGGUGCAACUUGAGGGCUAAACCUAACUGUACACCUACAUGAGGUGUGACUCAUGUAAACCUACAUGAGGUGUGACCUUCGGGUGGGUCAUCCACACAUAGCCCCUGCAGAAGAUAACUCAGAGAUGAUCUCUCAGCAGCUUGCACUUUCUCUGGGCAGCCCCUCACCAUUGCAGUGAACUGCAAC
ensembl:lncRNA